AGCACUGUAACUCUUUAGAAUCUAACACCCAUUUUUUUGUGGUAAAAACCUCAGGGCUUAUCACCAGUUUGUUGUAUGAUAUACUGGUCAGUUACUGAUUCUGACAGCAACAAUUAUUCUUCUCACUGACAUUGAUACCAGAAGUUAACUCUUCUUUUUAACGAACUCCUUUUGGCUUCCUGGAAUUGCUUUUGAAUUGUUUCCAGGGAUGAAAAACCCAGCUGUAUAUGGAGUGGCAAGAGACAAAUGAUUCUAAAGCCUAUUCAA